rnacentral:lncRNA from 1 species
AAUCACUAAUGACCUCAUCUUCAAAUGGUCAGUGAUAAUAAACAAGAAGGAGGGAUUUCCAAGGGAGCAGAGCAUUAAUAAGCUACUUGUGCAAGAAGCUACAAUGAGAAAAAAAAUAGCAAGAAAUAGAUGAGGGAAGGAGGUUCUGUAGAGGGAAAAACAAAGAGAGAAAAGAACAAUGAAUUGUGCUGAGAAAGAGAUGCCUGGAUGAAGAAGCUGGCCCUAGCACCCAUAAAGCUGGAAAGAAAGUGGGGCCUUGGAAACUUCUGGAAGGAUGCGAGGAAAGAAAAAUGCAAGGAAAUGAGAUGGAGAGGAGAAAGAGAAACCAGGAAGCACUUCGGAAGCAUGUAAAUUACAAGGAAAUGAGGAACAGCCUUUAUUGAAACAGUCUGUGAAGUCUGUGCUAGCGCUGAGAGCUUCAUUUUACUGUCCUGGCAAGGAGGUGUGGCCCCUCUCCAGUGCCCAGCACCUCAUCGCUGUGGUAACAGAAGACACGCUUAUCUUCCGGAUUUUGCCUCAGAGACUUGGGCUGUACAAGCUGCUUUCCUGGGGUAGCUUGUCCUUUUGCAGUUAACCGAGAUGCCUGGGGAGAAGAGCUUCCCCCAACAGGAUGGCAGGCGAUGCUUCCAGAUGCGGUCACUUGGCACGUCUGAGCCGAAUGUCUCCAUAAAAAUAUGAUGUAAUUAACAGAGCCGCAGCAGCUGGAACAAUUCAGCACCUCACAUUGAUUUUCCAUGUCUCCUAUUUACUUUCAGUUUUUAAACUGUCUGCAGUGACAGGAAAUCAAAGAAUUAUAAUGGUGUGUGUGAGGGCCCAAUGCUGGGUCGGCAUUUCCUUGUGAAAUCCUGAGAUUAAUCAGUUUCCUAUCACUCAAUCAUCCCUUUUCACUUCUAAAGGAAAACGGUCCUCCCAAAUGCUACGAAACAGCAGUCUAUUUUUGGAUAUUAAAAAAAUCAAUUGUAUUAUUUUAAAAUUUGAGAGGAGUGUUUUUAAAAAAAGUCAGCCCGAAGCAAUAUUCACUUGUCUGUUUUCCCCUUCAAGUUUAAUAGGAGUUGGCAAAGGCAUUUGGGUGCAGUGAGACACAAGUACUAUAUUCACCCUUCCCAAGUUUUGAGAGCUUGGAAAAGUUACUUGGUGGAACCAAAGAGAGGAACUGCAUUCCAAGUUUUUUUGAUCACUGAAAUGAAGGAAAAUAAGUUUCCCAUAUGUGGUUAUUCAUGAGCCUUCAUCUGAAGCUGGUGGUUUUCUCAUAGUUGGUCACUGUAUUUCCAGCUCUGUCAGGUGAAAGUCAGAAUCUUGGGUUAAUUUCACUUUGGGUUCCUUAAAAUGCUGGAGAAAAUAGGCAGCUGCGGUUGUAGUGGGGAAACAGGCCUCUGUCUGAAGUCAGCUUGCUCUAGAUUGUGUUUGAAAACAUGCCUCAGAUUUAAGUGGUCUUGCUUUUUUUCCAGACUCCCUUGCCUUGGCAGAUUCUGUGUCUUGGCCAUACUGUAAGAACUCACUUUUCUUUGUCUUUUUAUUGAUUCAAGCAAUAUAACCAUUUCAUAAAUAAUUAGGAAAAUAAAGAAGAAAAUUUCUCAUAAUUCUACUGCUCAAACGCAAUAGCUAUGAUUGCUUUGGAGCAAUUACUUUGGGUCAUUUUCAAAUGCUGAGUUUUGGUAUGAUUCUAAGCAUAAUGUACAAACAACUUUACAUGUUGCUUUUUCACUUAAUCUAUGUCAGAAGCAUCUCCCCAUGUUAUGAUUAGCUUCAGUAAAUAUCUUUUUAAUUGCUGCCCAAACAGCUGGAACAAUUCAGUCCCUCUUAUUGACUUUCCAUGUGUCCUAUGGAAGUAGAGACACUCUAUUAACUAUUUCUGUAUUUUGGGACAAUAGAUCAAAUUGAUUUUUCACUGUAAUUAAUCCCAUGAUAAGUAUCUUUAUAAAUAAGCCUUUUCUAUAUAUAAGAUAAUUUCUUUAGGAUAAAUUCCUAGAAAUUACAGGGUCAAAGUGGAUACAUAUUUUAUGACUCUUGAUAUUUCUUAUUGAUCUUUAAAGCUAUUAUGUGACUUUAUAUUAUCACCUAAAAUGUUUGAGGAAUUCAUGCUUUACGAGCGUAUUUUAUUGACUAAAUAUGCAGUACUGAGAGAGCUUUAUGUGUGCAGUUUGAUGAUGCUGACAGAUAUCCCGGAGAUAAACAUUUUUUAAUUUAAAGAUGUUCUGUUUAUGUUUAACAUACAGAAGUUAAUGUUAAACAUGAUGCCUAUUUUGUUUAACAUACAGAAGUGACUUUAUUAAAGCCAUUUCUUCUAAAUGUGCAAUAAACUAUGAAUUCUUUGCCUGGU